rnacentral:rRNA from 1 species
UACAGAGGGUGCAAGCGUUGUUCGGAAUUAUUGGGCGUAAAGCGCGUGUAGGCGGCUUGGUAAGUCGGGUGUGAAAUCCCUCAGCUUAACUGAGGAAGUGCGCCCGAAACUGCUUUGCUUGAGUGCCGGAGAGGAUGGCGGAAUUCCCCAAGUAGAGGUGAAAUUCGUAGAUAUGGGGAGGAACACCGGUGGCGAAGGCGGCCAUCUGGACGGUAACUGACGCUGAGACGCGAAAGCGUGGGGAGCAAACAGG